CUAAUCCAUCUCUCCAGCCUAAGAUCAGCAUUUCUGGGCUGGAGAAAUGGCUGAG
rnacentral:miRNA from 1 species